rnacentral:pre_miRNA from 1 species
UUAACUUAAAAUUUGUAUGCAGUUGGAACAGCGCCCCUAGCGGCAAACGUAUGCAAACGUUCCAUCUCCAUACAAAUUUGAGUUA